rnacentral:lncRNA from 1 species
GGUGUCCUCAGGGGUGGGCACCAUGUCCUGUUCCUCUCAGCACCCGGGCCUCAAGCAGGAGCUCGGGAAGUGUUGAGUGAAAGCACCUGCCAUGCUGCUCCCUCCUCAGCUUCUGAGCAGAUCCACAGGGACAGGCUGAUGCCUCCCAACUACCCAGCAUCCUGGGGACUGUUGUGGUCCUGCUGCUGAUCCUGGGAGCUGGACUGUUCCUCUGGAGGACACGAGUGAAGAAGAGCCUGGAGCCUGGGAGAGGUGCAGGGUCCCAGGACGAGCACAGGGACCCCGAUGGUGGCAUUCACUAUGCAGAGCUGAGCCAGCAGGGGUCUGGAGACAGCAGGGACCAGGUGAGGCUACAAAUGGGGGCAGCCUGGGUCCUCCCUCGUCCCUCUGUGCCUGGGUGUGUGCCU